CUUGCAGAGGCUGGGGAGAUAUAGGCCCCUUGCUCAUGGGGAGGGCGCACUGGGAUAAGGUUGAUCUGGAGCCAAAUAGCAAAGGAAGGGAAGUGGCAAGAAUGUGUGGAACGAUCACAAAGUUCACAUUUCCUCUUAUAAUCACACAACAAAAGGGCAACUCAUCAGAGUUUCUCACUGACCUCAGGGCCUUUAUCUUUAAAGAGAAAGAAGGAGAGAGAAAGAGAAGAAAAUUCAGAAACUAUAUACUUUUAUGAUAUCCACCAAGACUAUGACUUUGGACAGAUGAUCCAACACUAAUUUUCAAACUUUCAGCCAAAUUGUAUACAGUAUUGUGUAUAGCAUGUGAAGAUCUGAGAUAAAAUCCCAGUUCUAUCCACUCAUUGUGUGACUUAGGGAAAAUUACCUAACAUCCCUAAAUCUUGUUUUGUGUUCUGUAAAAUGAUCUCAUGUGAAUCUUAUGUAAAUUAAAUUUAAUAAUAUAUGUACAGCAUUUUCACAGUGUCUGGCAAAGAAGACAGACUCAAUAAAUGAUAAAGCAACA
rnacentral:lncRNA from 10 species